rnacentral:lncRNA from 1 species
UCGCCUUCAACGCCGACCCCGCCUGCCUCGGCGGCGACGCCACCGCCGGCGGCGAGUUCAUGCGCGCGUUCGAGACCGCUGCGAACCUCAGCUCCGGCAGGUUUCUCUACGCGGUGCCUCGAUCCUACCUGAUAAAAAAAUUCUUAAAUCUCGGAUCGGAGAAGAAGCUUAGAGAAGCAAUCGCGACGGUGCACGAAUUCGCCGAUCAAAUAAUCAGAUCCAGAAUUGAAAAAUUACCGAGAAUAAAAUCUUAGAGGAAGACUUGCUAUCGAGAUUCAUAGGCAAGAGCGAGAACAUCUCCGCCGAGUUCCUCAGAGACAUCGUGAUCAGCUUCAUCCUCGCCGGCCGCGACACGACGUCGUCGGCUCUGUCGUGG